GCUGGAGUCACCUCUCAACUGCACGGCGAUAAGUCCCUGUCACAGGUAUAUUAACGGGACCCUGGAUGGCGCCGCCUGUAAGGAUACCGACACCUGCUGCUCCCUUCUCGCCGGCGGUUCCACUACGUCAUACCAAGUGAGAUACAUAAAUAGGUGAGUUAGAUGUUACGCAGAUUAAUGAGAAUUUAUUAAUUGCAGAUCAAAACAACGGAAACGGGAUGCAAAGCUUACCGGAGCUUUGUGGAUCUUAACCAAACGGCUCCGGUGGAGGAGUGGAUGGAGAAGGAAGGAGUGGAAAUUCAAUGGGCGUCACCUAAGGAGCCUCUAUGUGAAACGCAGGUGGAGUGUGAUACUAAUUCCACAUGUAUCUCUGAUGU
rnacentral:lncRNA from 1 species